rnacentral:rRNA from 1 species
CUACGGGUUGCUGCAGUGAGGAAUAUUGCACAAUGGGGGGAACCCUGAUGCAGCAACGCCGCGUGGAGGAUGACACAUUUCGGUGCGUAAACUCCUUUUAUAUGAGAAGAUAAUGACGGUAUCAUAUGAAUAAGCACCGGCUAACUCCGUGCCAGCAGCCGCGGUAAUACGGGGGGUGCAAGCGUUACUCGGAAUCACUGGGCGUAAAGAGCAUGUAGGCGGAUUAAUAAGUUGGAAGUGAAAUCCUAUAGCUUAACUAUAGAACUGCUUCCAAAACUGUUGAUCUAGAAUAUGGGAGAGGUAGAUGGAAUUUCUGGUGUAGGGGUAAAAUCCGUAGAGAUCAGAAGGAAUACCGAUUGCGAAGGCGAUCUACUAGAACAUUAUUGACGCUGAGACGCGAAAGCGUGGGGAGCAAACAGGAUUAGAUACCCUGGUAGUC